GAUCCUGGCUCAGGAUGAACGCUAGCUACAGGCUUAACACAUGCAAGUCGAGGGGCAGCACAGAGGUUGCUUGCAACCUUUGGUGGCGACCGGCGGAUGGGUGCGUAACGCGUAUCCAACCUGCCGCAGUCCCGGGGAUAGCCCGUGGAAACGCGGAUUAACACCCGAUGGUGCAUACGUUCCGCAUGGCGCGUAUGCCAAAUGCGAAGGACUGCGAUGGGGAUGCGUACCAUUAGGUAGAAGGCGGGGUAACGGCCCACCUUGCCGACGAUGGUUAGGGGUUCUGAGAGGAAGGCCCCCCACACUGGGACUGAGACACGGCCCAGACUCCUACGGGAGGCAGCAGUGAGGAAUAUUGGUCAAUGGGCGCGAGCCUGAACCAGCCAAGUAGCGUGGAGGAUGAAGGCCCUACGGGUUGUAAACUCCUUUUAUGCGGGGAUAAAAAGUGCCACGUGUGGCAUGUUGCAGGUACCGCAUGAAUAAGGACCGGCUAAUUCCGUGCC
rnacentral:rRNA from 1 species